GCGGGGGUUCCCUAGCCUGGUCAAAGGGGUAGGGCUCAGGUCCCUAUGGCCUAAGGCCUUCGUGGGUUCAAAUCCCACCCCCCGCA
rnacentral:tRNA from 1 species